rnacentral:rRNA from 1 species
UACGAGGGGGGCAAGCGUUGUUCGGAAUUAUUGGGCGUAAAGGGCGCGUAGGCGGUUCGGUAAGUCGCCUGUGAAAACUCUGGGCUCAACUCAGAGCCUGCAGGCGAAACUGCCGUGCUGGAGUGUGGGAGAGGUGCGUGGAAUUCCCGGUGUAGCGGUGAAAUGCGUAGAUAUCGUGUGGAACGCCAAAGGUGAAAACAGACAGCUGGGAGUGUGCUGACGCUGAGACACGAAAGCCAGGGGAGCGAACGGG